UUUGUGUGUUAUACGGCGUUUUUCUACUUUUUCUAAUCCACUAUUCUCUUCUUUGUACAUACAUAUAGAUAUAAUUUUUGUUUAGUUGUAGGAAGUGGAAUACAUACAACAGUUUAUAAUUUUUGUGUCCUUGGAAUUCUUCUACAUGUUGCACUACUAAACCUGUAACCCUUUUCUUGGCUGUAUGCAGGAAAGAAUUUAUGUGACUUAGAUUACUGAGUUGUGUGCCAAUUCUGUUACGUUUGAGGCUUCUGAUGUAAUUUAGCAUAUUCUCGUGUCACUCUUAGUCGAUUUGAAGGCCUCUCUAAGCAUUUGGAUUCAUUCUAUUUGAAGGCCUCUCUAAGCAUUUAGAUUCAUUCUUUCCAAUGUUAUCUCUUGUGCAACUAAGGUGUUUUCUAUGAUAGUUCCUAGUGCAUAAAUAGAGUAGAAUAUACUUAGUCGAUCUGAAGGUCGGGGGUGGUAGGUGGCAACUGAGUUUUUAACUUAUAAGAAAUGGGGGAAGGUGUGGAAAAUAGAAGGCACAAGUCUAUUUAUUGGUUUUUGAGCUUGCUUUGCUUGGUCUUCUGCUUCCUGGUUGUUGCGCCUAUAUUUUUCUACUUAUUUUAUUCAUUCUUUACUGUCUUUUGCAGCUAUAUAAUUAAACUAUUACAUAUAUUAAAUUUUUGUUUGUUAUACUGUGCUUGACGUUUUUCAUCUUUUUCUAAUCCAAUUUUUGCUACCUUGCAGCAUAAUUAAUUAAUACAUGCAUAGUAUCCUAUUUUUCUUUGUCUCCAUGCUGUGUACAAAUAUGUGCAAUAUUAGUGUUUCUUAGAUAUGUAAACCCCAUCGAUUGUCAAAUCUUGGCUUCUUAAUAUAUCUGUUAAACGCUUUUACAGGCUCUUUCCCAAGUAAAGUUACUUACUAGACACAUUUCCUUUUUACUUUGGCAUUCAGUUUGCUGUAUUGCAUCUAAAAAAGAAAUCAUGGGCCUUGGAAGCUGGUGGAGCAAUCAAUGAGUGUCAAGUAAAGAUACUUUCUAUAAGGAUCAGUCAUUAAGCAUCAAUGUGUGACUCGCCUUACGUGGGGUAUUGCUUUACGAGCUGUUUUAGAUGCUUUGAGGAAGCCUGCAGAUUCAGAAGUUUGUUCCUUCCUAGUUUAUCAGUUAAUGUUAUUAUUGUGAAUUUCAGUCUUACCUUGGAUUUAUGACAUUCCUUUGGGAGUAUGGCAUUGGAGCAGUUUGUGGACCAUCUCAUUGAGUGGCCACAGUAUGCCAUCAUAUCCUGCACUUUGUAGCAUUUAUAGAUAGGGCACUCAACAGUAUUUCGGCGGCUUAUUCUGAACGUGAUGUUGGCCAUACUGCCAAUACUGAUCACCGACACGGUCAUAUUCAAUCUUCAGCUCCACAUAUAGAGAUUGUAUGCCCAUCAUUUUCUCUGAUCGGACCCAGCAGCAAUUGUCUGGAUUAGCAAUUCCCUCUUCGAUCCCACUGCAACAGAGACCACCAAGUUCUCAGUUCACUCCUAAUUACAUGAAUCCAUCACAACACACCUACCCUUCCUAAGUCACUCAGUGGUGCUUUGCUGUCAAUACAAUCUGCCUGGUCGGAUUUCCAUGGUCUUCUAGAUCAACCUCAGCAAGUAAAUAAUCAGGCUGUCAUGAACUUAAAGUUAUCGUGCUCAGACAAUAUUUCCUCAUACAUGGCUGUUAUCUCCUGCCUAAAAUCUAAAGCUUUAUCUAUUCUUUUGCAACUCUGUGAAGCUGAAGUGUAUCAUAUACCUGGAUGAGGUGGCCAGCAACACAGCA